AAUGAACGCUGGCGGCAGGCCUAAAACAUGCAAGUCGAACGCCCUAGCAAUAAGGAGUGGCGCACGGGUGAGUAACAUGUGGGAAUAUGCCUUUUGGUACGGAACACCGUUUGGAAACGAACGCUAAUACCGUAUGGUCCCUCCGGGGUAAAGAUUUAUCGCCAAAAGAUUAGCCCGCACUAGAUUAGCUAGUUGGUAAGGUAAUGGCUUACCAAGGCGACGAUCUAUAGCUGUUCUGAGAGGAAGAUCAGCCACACUGGGACUGAGACACGGCCCAGACUCCUACGGGAGGCAGCAGUUAGGAAUAUUGGACAAUGGGCGCAAGCCUGAUCCAGCCAUGCCGCGUGAGUGAUGAAGGCCUUCGGGUUGUAAAGCUCUUUAGCCGACGAAUAUAAUGACUGUAGUCGGAGAAUAAGCCCCGGCUAACUUCGUGCCAGCCGCCGCAGUAACAC
rnacentral:rRNA from 1 species